AAUAGAUACCCGGGUAGUCCAUGCCGUAAACGUUGGGAACUAGAUGUAGGGCCUGUUCCACGGGUUCUGUGUCGUAGCUAACGCAUUAAGUUCCCCGCCUGGGGAGUACGGCCGCAAGGCUAAAACUCAAAGGAAUUGACGGGGGCCCGCACAAGCGGCGGAGCAUGCGGAUUAAUUCGAUGCAACGCGAAGAACCUUACCAAGGCUUGACAUAUAGAAGAACACUGCAGAGAUGCAGGACUCUUUGGACACUUCUAUACAGGUGGUGCAUGGUUGUCGUCAGCUCGUGUCGUGAGAUGUUCGGUUAAGUCCGGCAACGAGCGCAACCCUGUCCUAUGUUGCCAGCACGUAAUGGUGGGAACUCAUGGGAUACUGCCGUGGUCAACACGGAGGAAGGUGGGGAUGACGUCAAAUCAUCAUGCCCCUUAUGUCUUGGGCUUCACGCAUGCUACAAUGGCCGGUACAAAGAGCUGCGAUACCGCGAGGUGGAGCGAAUCUCAAAAAGCCGGUCUCAGUUCGGAGUUC
rnacentral:rRNA from 1 species